rnacentral:rRNA from 1 species
AUACAGAGGGUGCAAGCGUUAAUCGGAUUUACUGGGCGUAAAGCGCGCGUAGGUGGUUUGAUCAGUCGGAUGUGAAAGCCCAGGGCUCAACCUUGGAAUUGCAUUCGAUACUGUCAGACUAGAGUUUAGUAGAGGAAGGUGGAAUUCCAGGUGUAGCGGUGAAAUGCGUAGAUAUCUGGAGGAAUACCAGUGGCGAAGGCGGCCUUCUGGACUAAAACUGACACUGAGGUGCGAAAGCGUGGGGAGCAAACAGGAUUAGAAACCCCAGUAGUCC